CCCUUAGAUGUUCUGGGCCGCACGCGCGCUACACUGAUUCAUGCAACAAGUUUUGUCCUUGGCUGAUAGGCCUGGGUAAUCUUUGAACGUGAAUCGUGAUGGGGAUAGAUGAUUGCAAUUAUUCAUCUUCAACGAGGAAUUCCUAGUAAACGCAAGUCAUCAGCUUGCAUUGAUUACGUCCCUGCCCUUUGUACACACCGCCCGUCGCACCUACCGAUUGAAUGGUCCGGUGAAAUCUUCGGAUCUGAGAGAUGUCUGAUUAAUUUCGGACGCCUUUUGGAAAAGUUGUUUAAACCUUNCNAUUUACNGGAAGGUGAANUCGUANCA
rnacentral:rRNA from 1 species